rnacentral:rRNA from 1 species
UACGUAGGUGGCAAGCGUUGUCCGGAUUUACUGGGCGUAAAGAGCGCGCAGGCGGUCGUUCAAGUCGCGUGUGAAAGCCCCCGGCUCAACUGGGGAGGGUCACGCGAUACUGAUCGACUCGAAGGCAGGAGAGGGUAGUGGAAUUCCCGGUGUAGUGGUGAAAUGCGUAGAUAUCGGGAGGAACACCAGUGGCGAAGGCGGCUCUCUGGGCCUUACCUGACGCUGAGGAGCGAAAGCGUGGGUAGCGAACAGG